rnacentral:rRNA from 1 species
UACGUAGGGUGCAAGCGUUGUCCGGAAUUAUUGGGCGUAAAGAGCUCGUAGGUGGUUUGUCGCGUCUGCUGUGAAAACUCGGGGCUUAACUCCGGGCCUGCAGUGGGUACGGGCAGACUAGAGUGCGGUAGGGGAGACUGGAAUUCCUGGUGUAGCGGUGAAAUGCGCAGAUAUCAGGAGGAACACCGGUGGCGAAGGCGGGUCUCUGGGCCGUAACUGACGCUGAGGAGCGAAAGCGUGGGGAGCGAACAGG